GAAACGACUGCUAAGACUGGAUAGUAGACAAGAAGGCAUCUUCUUGUUUUUAAAAGACCUAUUAAUAGGUAUGCUUAGGGAGGAGCUUGCGUCACAUUAGCUAGUUGGUGGGGUAAAGGCCUACCAAGACUAUGAUGUGUAGCCGGGCUGAGAGGUUGAACGGCCACAUUGGGACUGAGACACGGCCCAAACUCCUACGGGAGGCAGCAGUAGGGAAUUUUCGGCAAUGGAGGAAACUCUGACCGAGCAACGCCGCGUGAACGAUGAAGUAUUUCGGUACGUAAAGUUCUUUUAUUAGGGAAGAAUAAAUGAUGGAAAAAUCAUUCUGACGGUACCUAAUGAAUAAGCCCCGGCUAACUAUGUGCCAGCAGCCGCGGUAAUACAUAGGGGGCAAGCGUUAUCCGGAAUUAUUGGGCGUAAAGGGUGCGUAGGCGGUUAAAUAAGUUUAUGGUCUAAGUGCAAUGCUCAACAUUGUGAUGCUAUAAAAACUGUUUAGCUAGAGUAAGAUAGAGGCAAGUGGAAUUCCAUGUGUAGUGGUAAAAUGCGUAAAUAUAUGGAGGAACACCAGUAGCGAAGGCGGCUUGCUGGGUCUUUACUGACGCUGAGGCACGAAAGCGUGGGGAGCAAACAGGAUUAGAUGCCCUGGUAGUCCACGCCGUAAACGAUGAGUACUAAACGUUGGGUAAAACCAGUGUUGAAGUUAACACAUUAAGUACUCCGCCUGAGUAGUACGUACGCAAGUAUGAAACUUAAAGGAAUUGACGGGACUCCGCACAAGCGGUGGAUCAUGUUGUUUAAUUCGAAGGUACCCGAAAAACCUCACCAGGUCUUGACAUGCUUCUGCAAAGCUGUAGAAACACAGUGGAGGUUAUCAGUUGCACAGGUGUGCAUGGUUGUCGUCAGCUCGUGUCGUGAGAUGUUGGGUUAAGUCCCGCGACGAGCGCAACCCUUAUUGUUAGUUACCAGCACGUAAUGGUGGGGACUUUAGCAAGACUGCCAGUGAUAAAUUGGAGGAAGGUGGGGACGACGUCAAAUCAUCAUGCCCCUUAUGACCUGGCUACAAACGUGAUACAAUGGCUGUUACAAAGGGUAGCUGAAGCGCAAGUUUUUGGCGAAUCUCAAAAAAACAGUCUCAGUUCGGAUUGAAGUCUGCAACACGACUUCAUGAAGUUGGAAUCGCUAGUAAUCGCGAAUCAGCAUGUCGCGGUGAAUACGUUGACGGGGUUUGUACACACCGCCCGUCA
rnacentral:rRNA from 1 species